UACGUAGGGUGCGAGCGUUAAUCGGAAUUACUGGGCGUAAAGCGUGCGCAGGCGGUUUUGCAAGUCAGAUGUGAAAGCCCCGGGCUCAACCUGGGAAUUGCAUUUGAAACUACAAGGCUAGAGUGUGUCAGAGGGGGGUAGAAUUCCACGUGUAGCAGUGAAAUGCGUAGAGAUGUGGAGGGAUACCGAUGGCGAAGGCAGCCCCCUGGGAUAACACUGACGCUCAUGCACGAAAGCGUGGGGAGCAAACAGG
rnacentral:rRNA from 1 species